UACGUAGGGUGCGAGCGUUUGUCCGGAAUUAUUGGGCGUAAAGGGCUCGUAGGCGGUUUGUCGCGUCGGGAGUGAAAACUCAGGGCUUAACCCUGAGCCUGCUUCCGAUACGGGCAGACUAGAGUUCGGUAGGGGAGACUGGAAUUCCUGGUGUAGCGGUGAAAUGCGCAGAUAUCAGGAGGAACACCGGUGGCGAAGGCGGGUCUCUGGGCCGAUACUGACGUGAGGAGCGAAAGCGUGGGGAGCGAACAGG
rnacentral:rRNA from 1 species